ensembl:misc_RNA Y_RNA Y RNA
AGUUGGUCUGAGGGUUGUGAGUUAUUGUUAAACUGUUUAGCACUGUCUUCACCCACAGUCAUAAUUGACUAGCUUUGC